GCAGCAUCGCGUCUGUGCAGCAAAUCCCCAUUCGUCCUUUACAGGCAGACUCUGGAACGCCUCUUGAGACCUUCCCCUUCAGAGCCAACCGCAGUUACUAUGCAUUUAUUUUUAUUUUGUUCCUCUUUCAUUCCGCCCCUGUAACAAGCUCUUGGAACGAUGCUCCUCGGAUGGAUACCAACCGCUUCAGGAUAAGAAAAAGAAAAUGGCCAGUUUCAAUUCAACUUAAUGCAACAGACGUUGGUUCAAAUUUAAAGGCACGAGAACUGGGUCUGCUGACGGUGAAGUUCCAGCCUGAAGCUCUAUGGGUUUGGGACCCAGCAAAACCCCACUUGGCACUUGGACAGGAGGAAUUCUCUGUUCUACUCCAGGAAGCGCUAGCCUUCUCUUCAGUCUUUCAUCUGAUCGGAUGGGGCUGCAGACACCUUAGACUGAACAUCGCCGACCAUCGAAAGGGCUGAAAAGCUCUGUUGAAAAAGCCUUUUUUUUAGCUUUGUUGAAAAAGUCGUUCUUAGCUGGACUGUGGUGGUACACACCUUAAUCCCAGCGCUCCAGAGGCUGAGGCAGGUGGAUCUACACUGAGAAACCCUAUCUCGAAAAACAAGCAACCAAACGAAAACAAAAGCCCUUCUUUCAGAAACGAAGUUCCCAGCUCAGGACACAGCUCUUCUCCCUGCACUGUCAUCUGUAUGGCCACCACCCCAGCACUCUCACCCACUGAUAAUUUCUGCCUACAAAUGCUCGUCCGCUUCCUGAUUCUCUUCGCUCCCGUGCAGAGCGUUGCACCUCAAAGAUCCUGACAGUAUAAUCACAUUGUUUCGUGUAGUCAACACUGAGACUGGUGCCUCUGUCCAGGACGGACAGUGGCUUGUGGCUGCUCUGGGAAAGCUUUGCUUCAGGUUAAAUAAAGAGAUCUCCCCACAACCCAGAUCUUCUCCCCCAGCCCCCAGCCCGUACUCCUUCAUCCUUGUUUGUGAGCAUCUCCAGGGAUGAGAGUCAUUCAUGUACUCCUCAGAGCAGUCCUCCUUCUCCAGACCCAUUGCCCAUCAUCCUUCCACAAGAUUAGCUAUAAUGGUCUCAUUUACUUACUCUGAGCCUUGCAGAGAGUGAGGAUUCUAUAGAAGCAGCACACUCAGAGAAUAUGGAACCACAAGAGGAUGUGUGUGCUGCCAGAAUGGGAAGAAUUCAGUCCAGUUUUGUAGAGUUCUAAUAGGUCUUACUAAUAAAAGCCUGGAGUCAGAGACAGGGGAAAAUGCUAAGAGAUCAGACAGAAGAAGGAGCAAGCCAAAGCCACCUUUAUCUCACUGGCUUCCCAGCAGAAAAAAGGUCCUGUUUCCUCCCGCCUAUAUUCCUUUCUCCGUCCAGCCAUCUCACUGCCUGUCUGUCUGUACCAACCUCCAGACCUCCAUGGUUAGCUAGUGGCAAGCUCCAUCCCCUGAUCUUCAGACAAGCUUUAUUUGUACAAACAGAACAUCACCACGGAGUUUUGCAGAGGGCGCUGGUGGAGGAAGGGAAGGAAGGAAGAGGGCUCCCAAGGUUAGCUGGGGUGUGCUGUGGGUAGACUCUGAGCCUUCCUAAGGGAGAGAGGAAGUAGGUGGUCUACAGCAGCCUCUGUGCUGGGCCUUCUGGACCUGCUGUUGAAGUCCUGAUAACAGAAACCUGCUGUGUCAUUUGAGUGCAUUAACACAGGGCAGGCUGAUGAGCAUCCCAAAGGAGAAAAGCAUGUAGACUUUACCUAAGGAAUGUGGGGUGCCUCCUAGGGCUGAAAUGUAUUCCUCAUUAGCUUUCCAGUAAAGCCGCCUCUGGAUCCUGUGUGCGAUGUUAUCAAUAUGCUAAGCUUUAUGAUCUCGCAGGGAGAAAAGUCUUUCAAUUUUAAUUCUUUCUCUGCUAAAAACAUGGCUUAUCUCUGUUUUCAUUUUGCUGUCGAAAUCCUCUUACCUCUAUAUCCACUUCCUAACAAAAUACGCAGUGACUUUUUUUUUUUUUGAUGGGGGCGGUUCUCUGUGUAGCCAGGACUGUCCCGGAACUCAGACUGUAGUCCAGGCUGGCCUCGAACUCACAGAGGUCCAUUCCACCUCCCAAGGGCUGGGAUUAAAGGCCACCGCAGAGUCUUUUUAACCAUGUCUCUCUCCACUCCAGUCCCCCAGGAGGUGAAGGCCCCGCCCCCCCAGCUCAUUUACAUGUUGUUUUUGCCUAGAACACUCUCUCUGCAGUUUUCAUGCUCCCAUCCAGGGCACAGGUCGGGCUACACCUCUCUUCUCUGGUCACCCCAACUAGAGAAGCCAGCUGGUGGCUCCGUGGUGCGCUGCUGCAUUGCUUCAUUUUCCUCACAGCAGUGACUGUCUUCUCCCAUCCGAUGAGGUUCGCAGCCACAGAGUCUGCGUCCUGUCUGCUGUGGUUUGUCUCCCUCUCUGGGAAUGGUUCACCGGGAUACCUGCUUGCAAAGGAAGCAGUCUCCUAAUGGUAUUCUCACAAAAAAUCACAUUUUGUAGAAGUUCUUCUGUACGUGUUAGUUUUCAAAACCAAUUUCAUAGGCACGCUCUAGCUUCUCCUUCAGGACAACCCAAUGAGGCAGGUAAAACGGGCUUACAUUUCUCUAGAAAGGCUAAUACAGUGAGAAGCGCUGACAGCGAGGUAGCAGGACUUGUCUAAACUUCUUCAGCUUGUUAGUCCCAAGGCAUGGUCUUUCCCCAUCAGGGUCAAUGCUUUCCAUCUUCUGUCUCCUAGUCCUGUCUUGUGAUUUCCCUUAACUUCCCAGAACUGAAAAAUCCAUCCUUGUGGGAGAUGAGAAAGCGCCCUGAGAAGGAGGGUGAAGUAUGCCUGGAUUCCUCAGGAAUGUUUAGGACAAAUAGCCCAAACUGUGCCCAGGGUUUCGGCAGAUCGCCGGACCAAUCGAUAUGGUGGGAACCACUAAGUCUGGAUAACAGCACUUCUCUCAUUGCAGAAGGAUUGUGCUACUUUUACAUGGAAACGGAGGCCCCUCUGAAAUGAUCAUUGGGCUCCCGAAGGGCGUGACCCACAGGUUGAGAACUACUGAGCUAGACGCUCUGACAACGUGGCUGAAUGAUUAAGAACUUGUGAAUCCAAGUUAGCGUCCCAGCACCCACAUGGUGGUUCACAGCCGUCUACAACUGUAGUUCCAGGGGGGGCAGUACAUUAAAUGCAAUGAAUAAAUCUAGUAAAAGUUUGCAAUAAAAAAUAAAGUUACCUAGAAAAUCAGUUACAGAACAAACACGUCAAGCUCAAAAGGUCAAAAUACUUGGUCAUUCAAGCUCUAUUACAGAGCUAUAGUCCUGAAAACAGCUUGGUAUUGGCACAAAAAUAGACAGGUAGACCAAUGGAAUCGAAUUGAAAACCCGGGUAUUAACCCACACACGUACAAACAUCUGAUC